GUGAAGUGUGGGAAGUCUGCGGACUCAUAAUCCGUGGGUCCUAGGUUCAAGUCCUAGUUGCCCCA
rnacentral:tRNA from 1 species